rnacentral:rRNA from 1 species
UACAGAGGUCCCAAGCGUUGUUCGGAUUCAUUGGGCGUAAAGGGUGCGUAGGCGGCGCGGUAAGUCGGGUGUGAAAUCUCGGAGCUUAACUCCGAAACUGCAUUCGAUACUGCCGUGCUUGAGGACUGGAGAGGAGACUGGAAUUUACGGUGUAGCGGUGAAAUGCGUAGAUAUCGUAAGGAAGACCAGUGGCGAAGGCGAAUCUCUGGACAGUUCCUGACGCUGAGGCACGAAAGCCAGGGUAGCGAACGGG